GAAAUACCUGAGACUGGGUAAUUUAUUUUUAUUUUAAAAAGAGGUUUAACUGGAUCAUGGUUCUGCAGGCUGUACAGGAAGCAUGACGGCAUCAGCUCCUGGGAGGCCUCAGGGAACUUACAAUCAUGGCAGAAGAUGAAGGGGGCGGAGUGAGGCAUCUCAUGGUGGGAGAAGGAGCAAGAGAGAGAGGUGGGUAAGUGCUAGCCAGUUCUCAUGUAACUGGUUACACAACCAGUAAAUAACCUGUUGAGAAUAACCAAUUCUCAUGAGAACUCUAUCACGAGAACAGCACCCAAGGGUUGGUACUAAACCCUUCGUGAAGGAUCCACCCCUAUAAUCCAAUCACCUCCCACCAGGCCCCACCUCCAACUCUGGGGAUUACAAUUGAACAUGAGGUUUGGGUAGGGACACGGAUCCAAACCAUAUCAAUUGGCAAAUACAGUUUCUUAUAGUCAAGCACUUCACUCAUGUUAGUUCUUCCUGGCCCCUAUAGGCAUUUGAGUUUGUGAUCCUUGGGUUAAACUCUUGGCCACUAGGUAUUCUGAGACAAUGGCUGCUCUGGGAGCAGGCUGAUCAAAGGCAGUUUGAGAAAGGAGGCAGAUUUUCACCUCUGCCUUGAAGGAUCAUGUAUUAGUUUGCUAGGGUUGCCAUAAGGAACACCACAGACUAGCUGGCUUAAACAACAGAAAUUGAUUUUCUCACAAUUCUGCAGGUUAGAAGUUUGAGAUCAGUGUCGGCAGGUUGAUUUCUUUGGAGGGCUCUCUCCUUGGCUUGUUGGGGGCCACCUUCUUGCUGUGGCCUCACAUGGUCUUCGCCUGUACCUGUCUGCAUCCUAAUCUCCUGUUCUUACAAGGAUACCAGUCAUAUUGAAUUAGGGCUCACCUCUAUGACCUCAUUUUACCUUAAUCACCUCUUUAAAGACUCUAUCUCCAAACAGUAUCAUAUUCCCAAGUACUGGAGGUUAGGACUUCAACAUGUGAAUUUUGGAAGGACACAAUUCAGCCCAUAACAGAUAGAUAGGACCAGGAAGGAGGAGAGAGAAGGUACAGUGGGCAUGCAUUUUGCUAUCUUCUUAGCACCUGUAUCCAUUUCUUGUUGCUAUUAUAACAAAUUGCCACAAAUGUAUUGGUUUUAACAACACAAAUUCAUUUUUUUCCAGUUCUGGAAGUUCUAAAAUGAAGCACUGGCAGAGCUACAAUCCUUCUGGAGGCUGCAGGAGGGAUCUAGCGCUUUGCCUUUUCCAGUUUAUAGAGGCUGCCCAUGUUCCUUGGCUCAUGGCCCCACAUGAUCUGACCUUCACAUUCAUCUUUAUGUCUCCUCUGUCUCUGACUUUCUUCUGUCUUUUUGUUUUUUGAACAGAGACAGGGUCUCACCCUGUCAUCCAGCCUCAUAACAAGAAGGUGCAGGGCAAGAGGUCAUAUUGGAGUAUGAAUGUGCCCCACAGUGCUGGCCACCAGAAACACAUGGGGAAUGGAUGAGAAACAAGUUGGAAAUGAACGGGGCCAAAGGCCAGUCUGUUGAAAAAUUCUUACAAUCAUCAAACUUGUAAAAUGGACAGUUGGAUUCUUUAUUUCUGGUCAGAAUUGAAAUUCUUUCCUGUCUGGAAUAUACUAGAUAAAGCUAUCUAGACACAUUAUACAUUUUUUUUUCAUUUUUUGAUGGAAAUUGUACAAAUUUAAAUUUAUUAGGAUUUCUGUGGAACCUGAUAAUAAACCCACAGAAUUAAAGCAAAUAGUGAGUAUGUUUUUGUGUAAAAUUGCGUGAUUCCUAUAUCCUAAUGUAUUGGACUAUGUCUUAGCAAGACAUUACCAAUAACAGAUUGUGAAGCUAAAAUAAACUUUUCUAAACUAUCAACCAUGCUAGAAAACAGCCUGAAAUCUCUUUCUAUUCCCUUUAUGGAUAAUGGUAUUUCAAACUUCUUGUCACAUGAAGAGACAGUCAAAGAGCAUGCAUCCAAAAAGGAAUGAAAAAAGUCUGUAGAAGUGUGUCAGAUAAUUCAUUAACACAAACUCAUAUUAUUUUUCUAUAUUUUGUAUUUUUCUGGUAUUUGCGGGCUUUUAAGCUUUGUGAUUUGUUUUAAUUUUUUUUUUUUUUUUGAGACAGAGUCUUGCUCUGUCGCCCAGGCUGGAGUGCAGUGGUGCAAUCUCGGCUCACUGCAAGCUCCGCCUCCCGGGUUCACGCCAUUCUCCUGCUUCAGCCUCCCGAGUAGUUGGGACUACAGGUGCCCCCCACCAUGCUCGGUUAAUUUUUUUGUAUUUUUAGUAGAGAUGGGGUUUCACUGUGUUAGCCAGGAUGGUCUCGAUCUCCUGACCUCGUGAUCCACCCGCCUCGGUCUCCCAAAGUGCUGGGAUUACAGGCAUGAGCCACCACGCCCGGCCUGUUAUAAUGUAUUUUCUAAUUCUAUUCAUUUUGAUAUUUAAUUUUGUAUUCAUAAUUUUUUUUUAAGAGUUGAGGUCUCACUGUGUCACACAGGCUACAUGUAGUGGUACAAUUAUAGCUCACUGCAGCCUCAAGCUCCUGGGCUCAAAUGACCCUCCCACCUCAGCCUCCCAAGUAGCUAGGACAUGCUCCCACCUCAGCCUCCCAAGUAGCUAGGUGUGCACCACCAUGCCUGCUUUAUGUAUUUAUUUAUUUUGUAGAGAUGGUCUUGCUAUGUUGCCCAGGCUGUUUUCCAACUCCUGAUUCAAGGGAUCCUCCCACCUAGGCCUCCCGAAGUGCUGAGAUUACAAGCAUGCGCCACUGGGCCUGGCCUGCAAUUUUGCAUUCAUUGUCUUUAAAAGAGCACCCCAUUAUUCAGGCCCCACUAACUGGAAUAGCUCCCAUACGCAGGCUACAGUGAAGAGAUGUAGGUGGCCAGCCUCCCUAGAACAGGGGCUGAGAGCCGAGGAAUCAUGGCAAGCAGGUAGAGAGGGAGACAGGUGGGGACACUGAGGAUGGAGGAUGUGAAAAGCUGAGUGUGGGAGGACAGGCUCGUUGAGGUUGAUACUGCAUGAUGGGUUCCUGUCAUGGAGAGUGACAGGAGAGAGGGGCUCCUUUUCUCUGGGAACAGAUGUUUCCAGCUGCUUCAACCUUCUGCACCUGUAAUGAGUGGAGAGAUGAUUAAAGACUAAAACAGGUGGUAUGUUCCAGAAUCCUGAAAAAGAGUCAAAAACAUGUCACUCUCUGUAACUGAGAUUUUUAAGAGCCAGCAUCAAAUGGAUGAGGGUAAUCACAGGUUGGGUGCCUCCCAGAUCUCACAAGAGUCCUCAAGGAAUAAGGUAGCCCCUCAAUUCAUCAAGAGUUGAGAGUGUAUACUCAAACCCCAUCCAGGAAGCACCAAUUUAAAUGUAACUAAUAAAAAAAUGCACUUUCCAAUAAUACAGCUAAAAGGAUAAUGACAUAUGAUAAAGUAUUUAAAAAGCAAAUUUAAAAGUGGCAGUUCCACAUGCAUACAUACAUACACAGAUGAAUACAUUAGACUAAAAAAACUAUGAGGCAGAAAACAUCUAAUGAUUUUUAUGCAAGGACAAAUGACACAUAGGGAAAACAUGUGUAACUCAUAGCCAAAAAAUAAUUUUCCUAAUGUAUCAGCACUCCUAUAAAUUGAUUUUUUAAACCCAAAAUCUAAUAGAAAAUUAGGUAGUUCAUAAGAAAGGAAAUAGAAAUGCCUCCUAGAUAUAGG
rnacentral:lncRNA from 1 species